AUUGAACGCUGGCGGCAUGCCUUACACAUGCAAGUCGAACGGCAGCGCGGACUUCGGUCUGGCGGCGAGUGGCGAACGGGUGAGUAAUACAUCGGAACGUACCCUGUUGUGGGGGAUAACUAGUCGAAAGAUUAGCUAAUACCGCAUACGGCCUGAGGGUGAAAGUGGGGGACCGGAAACGGCCUCAUGCAGCAGGAGCGGCCGAUGUCUGAUUAGCUAGUUGGUGGGGUAAAGGCCCACCAAGGCGACGAUCAGUAGCUGGUCUGAGAGGACGAUCAGCCACACUGGGACUGAGACACGGCCCAGACUCCUACGGGAGGCAGCAGUGGGGAAUUUUGGACAAUGGGGGCAACCCUGAUCCAGCAAUGCCGCGUGUGUGAAGAAGGCCUUCGGGUUGUAAAGCACUUUUGUCCGGAAAGAAAUCGCGCUGGUUAAUACCUGGCGUGGAUGACGGUACCGGAAGAAUAAGCACCGGCUAACUACGUG
rnacentral:rRNA from 1 species